rnacentral:misc_RNA from 1 species
CUACAACUCUUCUUAGCAUCCUUUGUAUAUCAACUAUAAGUCUCAAUUUUCUUUUAUUUCUUAUCAUAAUAGGCUCUGGUCUAAAACUAUGAAUAUGAGGCAUUUAAGGCAACUGGUACCAUCCAAGUAAGGCAAAGGGUAGGACUGCCAUCUUGAAUGAUUACAGACUUGAAUUCUAGUUACUCUGAAUCCACACAUGUUUUGGUUAAAGAAAUGCAAUAAAAAAAAAUAGGCUCAUAUGUUGGUUAUAUGUAGCCAAAUGGAUUGGACAUAAGAUGCUAGUUCCCAUCCAAAGAUGAAAACUAUAUAAAUUCAUAAUGAUUUUUUGAGUUUGAGUUUAGUGAGACUAUGAUUGAAACUAAUCUCCUUUGGUCAGUUUGGAAAGUUUUAAGCUA